UACGUAGGUGGCAAGCGUUGUUCGGAUUUACUGGGCGUAAAGGGCGCGUAGGCGGCCUGUUAAGUCGAACGUGAAAUCCCCGGGCUCAACCCGGGAACUGCGUCCGAUACUGGCAGGCUUGAAUCCGGGAGAGGGAUGCGGAAUUCCAGGUGUAGCGGUGAAAUGCGCAGAUAUUGGGAAGAACACCAGUGGCGAAGGCGGUUCUCUGGGACGGUACUGACGCUGAGACGCGAAAGCGUGGGGAGCGAACAGG
rnacentral:rRNA from 1 species